rnacentral:rRNA from 1 species
UACGAAGGGAGCUAGCGUUGUUCGGAAUCACUGGGCGUAAAGCGCACGUAGGCGGAUGUGUCAGUCAGGGGUGAAAUCCCGGGGCUCAACCCCGGAACUGCCUUUGAUACUGGUAGUCUCGAGUCCGGAAGAGGUGAGUGGAAUUCCGAGUGUAGAGGUGAAAUUCGUAGAUAUUCGGAGGAACACCAGUGGCGAAGGCGGCUCACUGGUCCGGUACUGACGCUGAGGUGCGAAAGCGUGGGGAGCAAACAGG